GAUGAACGCUGGCGGCGUGCCUAAUACAUGCAAGUCGAGCGAACAGACGAGGAGCUUGCUCCUCUGACGUUAGCGGCGAACGGGUGAGUAACAAGUGGAUAACCUACCUAUAAGACUGGGAUAACUUCGGGAAAACGGAGCUAAUACCGGAUAAUAUAUUGAACCGCAUGGUUCAAUAGUGAAAGACGGUUUUGCUGUCACUUAUAGAUGGAUCCGCGCCCCAUUAGCUAGUUGGUAAGGUAACGGCUUACCAAGGCGACGAUGCGUAGCCGACCUGAGAGGGUGAUCGCCCACACUGGAUCUGAGACACGUUCCAGACUCCUACGGGAGGCAGCAGUAGGGAAUCUUCCGCAAUGGGCGAAAGCCUGACGGAGCAACGCCGCGUGAGUGAUGAAGGUCUUCGGAUCGUAAAACUCUGUUAUUAGGGAAGAACAAAUGUGUAAGUAACUAUGCACGUCUUGACGGUACCUAAUCAGAAAGCCACGGCUAACUACGUG
rnacentral:rRNA from 1 species